rnacentral:rRNA from 1 species
AUUGAACGCUGGCGGCAGGCCUAACACAUGCAAGUCGAACGGUAACAGGAGGCAGCUUGCUGCUUUGCUGACGAGUGGCGGACGGGUGAGUAAUGUCUGGGAAACUGCCCGAUGGAGGGGGAUAACUACUGGAAACGGUAGCUAAUACCGCAUAACGUCGCAAGACCAAAGAGGGGGACCUUAGGGCCUCUUGCCGUCGGAUGUGCCCAGAUGGGAUUAGCUAGUAGGUGGGGUAACGGCUCACCUAGGCGACGAUCCCUAGCUGGUCUGAGAGGAUGACCAGCCACACUGGAACUGAGACACGGUCCAGACUCCUACGGGAGGCAGCAGUGGGGAAUAUUGCACAAUGGGCGCAAGCCUGAUGCAGCCAUGCCGCGUGUAUGAAGAAGGCCUUCGGGUUGUAAAGUACUUUCAGCGGGGAGGAAGGGAGUAAAGUUAAUACCUUUGCUCAUUGACGUUACCCGCAGAAGAGGCACCGGCUAACUCCGUG